rnacentral:rRNA from 1 species
GAUGAACGCUGGCGGCGUGCCUAAUACAUGCAAGUCGAGCGAACGGACGAGAAGCUUGCUUCUCUGAUGUUAGCGGCGGACGGGUGAGUAACACGUGGAUAACCUACCUAUAAGACUGGGAUAACUUCGGGAAACCGGAGCUAAUACCGGAUAAUAUUUUGAACCGCAUGGUUCAAAAGUGAAAGACGGUCUUGCGGUCACUUAUAGAUGGAUCCGCGCUGCAUUAGCUAGUUGGUAAGGUAACGGCUUACGAAGGCAACGAUGCAUAGCCGACCUGAGAGGGGGAUCGGCCACACUGGAACUGAGACACGGUCCAGACUCCUACGGGAGGCAGCAGUAGGCAAUCUUCCGCAAUGGGCGAAAGCCUUACGGAGCAACGCCGCGUGGGUGAUGAAGGUCUUCGGAUCGUAAAACUCUGUUAUUAGGGAAGAACAUAUUUGUAAGUAACUGUGCACAUCUUGACGGUACCUAAUCAGAAAGCCACGGCUAACUACGUG